GAGACUGUUUAGACACUACUUUAGAAAAGGCAUUUUUUUUGGUGUUGCUACUAGGAAAUUGUGUGUGUGUGUGUGUGUGUGUGUGUGUGUGUGUGUGUGUGUGUUUUCAGUGUCUCUAGCAGCUGAAAGUAUGCAAGAGCUAAAAUGCAGCUACAGCUGGAGCUAACUCCCAUUCAUUCAUCAUUGUCACUUCACGAAUUAGGAGCCAGCAGACCAUUUCUCUCACUUUACUUCAGCUCCUUUUCAGAACGAGUGCAGAUUCAGAGAAGAAGGUGGAGCAAGAUGGCAGAAUAAUUGUCCCUCCAAUAAGGACAUCAAGUUAACGACUACCUACACAGAAAAACAGCUUCAUAAGAACGAAAAUCAGAACUAAUUCGACUGUUGAUGCCCAUCGGACAAAUACUAUCAGGAACACAGUGACAUGGACCUGUGCAGUGAAGCCAGCAAAUUGUGCUUGAGAUGGAACUUUACCUCCCAAAGCAACUGCAGGUUCAUCAAUUAGCCAAGUUGCCACUCAAAUGGAUAGGUAUGUGAAACAAUGUACAGAGGUUAAAAGAGCUGGAGGAUUUUUGAAUACUCUUCUUAUGGUGGAAUGGAAGUUUCUUAUCUUAUGAAGAAAUGUGACAAGUGAGUAUUCACAUUUCUUUUCAG
rnacentral:lncRNA from 1 species